rnacentral:snoRNA from 1 species
ACCCUCUCAGGGUCACACCUGGCAAGUUUCCAGUACUCUACCAGUCUCAGCUACAGGAGGUAGAGUCAAGCAGAGGCAUACCGAUUCCACUCCUAGCUUGGGCAAUGGCUAGCGAGUGGAAGGCAAUCUGCUACAAGU